AUAUGUUUUUUAAGAUAAAACAUCUUUUUAAACAUAAAACACACUGAUAUUUUCUAUUCAAAUUCAAGACUUCAGAAAUUUUUCUGAACUCUUCUCACAUCUGUAUACUUUCCUCAAUGCUAAGAAUCCCAGUUCUCAUAUGUAUCCUGAAUUAUAAUAUUAGAACAUCAAAGGUACUCCAUUGUUUUAUCCCAUGUUACACAACAGUAUCAGAAUAACAAAAGGCAGGUUAAAGUUUUGUUUGCCGUUCUUUUUGUUCUUGGAAGUACAGUAUUUCCUGCUGAGCCUGUAUGCUCAACGUACUGUGACUUAAACUUACUUAGUAUGGCUCCUCUCUGUGACUUGCUACUAACUGGGUACACAUUUAUGUUAACCUGUUUUUUUGGUGGGGUUUGUUGUUAGUCCUCACCCAAGGAUAUUUUUUCAUUGAUUUUAGAGAGAGUGCAUGGAAGGGAAGAAGAGAGGGGAUAAGAGAGGGAGAGAGAAACAUCAAUGCUAGAGAGGCACAUGGGUCAGUUCCCUCCCACACAUACCCUGACCGGGUCUGAGGACUGAACCUGCAACUCACAUACAUGCCUUGACUGGAAUAGAGCCUGAGACCCUUUGGUGCUUGAGCCAACACUCCAACCAUUGCGCAACACUGGCCAGGGCAAUUUAACCUGUGUUAUUCUUCCAUUUUUAAGAAUUUCUUGCGCUGGUUUAAUUUUUUACUUUUUAUUUCAGAGAGAAAGGGAGAAGAAGAGAAAGAUAGAAACAUCAAUGAUGAGAGAGAAUCAUUGAUCGGCUGCCUCCUGCAUGCCCCCUACUGGGGAUGGCGCUCACAGCCCAGACAUGUGCCCUGACCUGGAAUUGAACCAUGACCUCCUGGUUCAUAGGUCAAUGCUCAAUCAUGGAGCCACAUCAGCUGGGCUUGUUUAAUUUUAAUCAUGUAAAAUAUGGACAUAUUUCCAAGUCUAAUCUACAAAACAAGAUAUAGUCAAAGAAAUCUAUUCCUAUCCUUUGACUUGUUCUCUCCCCAGUUAGUGACCUUUUUAAAAAAAAAAAAAAUACGUUUUAUUGAUUAUAGAGAGAGGGAGGUGAGAGAGAGAGAGAGAGAGAGAGAGAGAAACAUCAAUUGACUACCUCCCACAUACACCCUGACCAGGGAUUGACCAUGAAACCUGGGCAUGUGCCUCAACCCAGAAUUGAACUUAGCAACCCUUCAGUGCACUGAAGGACACUCAACCCACUGAGCCACACUGGCCAGGGCAGUAACCUUUUUUAUUUUAUUUAAUCUUUUCUUUUUCUUUUUAUUUAAACAGAUAAAUAUGUUACAUCUUUAUAUGUCUUUAUUAUAUAAAGGUAGACUACUAUACAUUUCUCUACCUUGUUUAUUUAUUUAACAAUAUAUUUUGGAAAUUUGUUAUAGAGAUUCCUCAAUCCUUUUACAGCAGCAUAAAAUGAUAAAUCUGACCUUGACUCCAUCAUACUAAUUUUUUUUUAACAGUGGAAUGGAGGGGGAGAGACAGAGAGAAACAUUGAUGUCAGAGAGACACAUCAAUUGGUUGCCUCCCACAUGUGCCCUGACCAGGGCCAGGGAUAGAGCCUGCAACCAAGGUAUGUGCCCUUGACUGGAAUUGAAACUAGGACCCUUUGGUCCUCGGCCCGACACUCUAUUCACUGAGCCAAAUUAGCUAGGACUAGGUGUUUUUUUUUUUAUUAAAAAUUUUUAAUGUUGCCCUAACAGGUUUGGCUCAGUGGAUAGAGCAUUGGCCUGCGGACUGAAAGAGUCCCAGGUUCGAUUCCGGUCAAGGGCAUGUACCUUGUGUGCGGGCACAUCCCCAGUAGGUAGUGUGCAGGAGGCAGCUGAAUCAAUGUUUCUCUCUCAUCGAUGUUUCUAACUCUCUAUCUCUCUUCCUCUCCCUUCUUCUCUGUAGAAAAAUCAAUAAAAUAUAUUUAGCCCUAACCGGUUUAGCUCAGUGGAUAGAACGUCAGCCUGCGGACUGAAGGGUUCCAGGUUCGAUUCCGGUCAAGGGCAUGUACCUUGGUUGCGGGCACAUCCCCAGUGGGGUGUGUGCAGGAGGCAGCUGAUUGAUGUUUCUCUCUCAUCGAUGUUUCUGACUCUUUAUCCCUCUCCCUUCCUCUCUGUAAAAAAUCAAUAAAA